rnacentral:rRNA from 1 species
GUGAGUAAUUUUCCGCAAUGGGCGAAAGCCUGACGGAGCAAUGCCGCGUGAAGGAUGAAGGCCUAUGGGUUGUAAACUUCUUUUCUCAGAAAAGAAUUAUGACGGUAUCUGAGGAAUAAGCAUCGGCUAACUCUGUGCCAGCAGCCGCGGUAAGACAGAGGAUGCAAGCGUUAUCCGGAAUGAUUGGGCGUAAAGCGUCUGUAGGUUGUUUAAAAAGUAUUCUGUCAAAGAUUAGGGCUUAACCCUAGAUAGGCAGAAUAAACUUUUAAGCUAGAGUUUGGUAGAGGCAGAGGGAAUUCCCGGUGGAGCGGUGAAAUGCGUAGAUAUCGGGAGGAACACCAAAGGCGAAGGCACUCUGCUGGGCCAAUACUAACACUGAGAGACGAAAGCGAGGGGAGCAAAUGGGAUUAGAAACCCCAGUAGUCC